GUGUCAGCCGCCGCGGUAAAACGUAGGAGGCAAGCGUUAUCCGGAAUUACUGGGCGUAAAGGGCGUCUAGGCGGUAGGGCAAGCGGGAUGUGAAAGCUCCUGGCUCAACUGGGAGAGUGCGUUCCGAACUGCCGAACUAGAGGCCAGGCGAUGGGGGUGGAAUUCCCGGUGGAGUGGUGAAAUGCGUAGAGAUCGGGAGGAACACCAGUGGCGCAAGCGGCCCCCAAGCCUGAGCCUGACGCUGAAGCGCGACAGCGUGGGGAGCAAACGGGAUUAGAUACCCCGGUAGUCCACGCCAUAAACGAUGGUGACUAGGUGUGGGGCGUGGUACACACGCCUCGUGCCGUAGCCAACGCGAUAAGUCACCCGCCUGGGGAGUACGGCCGCAAGGCUAAA
rnacentral:rRNA from 1 species